rnacentral:tRNA from 1 species
UAUAAGAUAGGAAAUAUUCUCUGGUCCUUGCAGUGGAUCUCCAAUCUCUUCUAAGAGCGGAAAGUUCCAUAUCUUCUUUUUUAAC